UACGUAGGGUGCAAGCGUUGCCCGGAUUUAUUGGGCGUAAAGGGCGCGUAGGCGGCUACGCACGUCCGUUGUGAAAUCGCUCGGCUCAACUGGGCGGGGUCAGCGGAUACGGCGUGGCUGGAGCAAGCUAGGGGGCAAUGGAAUUCCCGGUGUAGUGGUGGAAUGCGUAGAUAUCGGGAGGAACACCAGUGGCGAAGGCGGUUGCCUGGAGCUUUGCUGACGCUGAUGCGCGAAAGCGUGGGGAGCGAUCCGG
rnacentral:rRNA from 1 species